rnacentral:rRNA from 1 species
AUUGAACGCUGGCGGCAUGCCUUACACAUGCAAGUCGAACGGCAGCACGGGUGCUUGCACCUGGUGGCGAGUGGCGAACGGGUGAGUAAUACAUCGGAACAUGUCCUGUAGUGGGGGAUAGCCCGGCGAAAGCCGGAUUAAUACCGCAUACGAUCCACGGAUGAAAGCGGGGGACCUUCGGGCCUCGCGCUAUAGGGUUGGCCGAUGGCUGAUUAGCUAGUUGGUGGGGUAAAGGCCUACCAAGGCGACGAUCAGUAGCUGGUCUGAGAGGACGACCAGCCACACUGGGACUGAGACACGGCCCAGACUCCUACGGGAGGCAGCAGUGGGGAAUUUUGGACAAUGGGCGAAAGCCUGACCCAGCAAUGCCGCGUGUGUGAAGAAGGCCUUCGGGUUGUAAAGCACUUUUGUCCGGAAAGAAAUCCUUGGCUCUAAUGCAGUCGGGGGAUGACGGUACCGGAAGAAUAAGCACCGGCUAACUACGUG